rnacentral:lncRNA from 1 species
AGGGUGUACUAAUUUGCUUCAAUACAGCACUCAUUUUACAUGUGUAUGGAUAUCAAAACUUUAUAUUGUACAACUUAAGUAUAUAUAAGUUUUUUUACUAUAAAGUCUAGCUUUAUUUUUAAAAAGAUUUUACAAGUCUGUCAACCUUAAACAUACAUCGAUGGAUUAUUUAUUCUUCUCUUCCAUCAGAUUAGGCUCACUGCUUCAAUCCAAUUCAUAAAAAAUAUAUGUAAAAAUAAAUCUUUUUCACAAGUAUGUAUCCCCUAUAUUUCUCAUCUUAGUUCUGAAAUUUUCUCUGUAUAAAUACUUUAACUCAGGUGUUAGUAAUAGUACUGUUGUACAGCUGCACAUGGCUAUCAUUUUACACGUUUGUUUUACUUUUCUAGUUUCCUGGUUCAGCUCCAAAGUCCAAAUCUUAUACAAGGCAAAAUCAAUGUUAAUUGGGCUGCCAAAAAAGCCCACUGAAUGCAUCCUGUACUGCUCUGUGACACGCAAGAGAAAAAGUAUAGCCUCCAGCAAGGUCCUGUGGUGAAGCAGCUCUGACAUGGUUUAAAUAUCCAAGUCUUCCUAACAACUGGAGCUCAGGAGCUGGAGGUCCACAUGACUCUAUCUGCAAUGGUUGGUAUUCAUACAGAGCUUCUUCAAGCUUCUGAAGAGGUGCCAAUGAAAUUUGUUGACCCAUUUUGAUGCCUGUGGAAAAUGUCACUGGCUUUACAGGUUUGGGUUUGUCAAGCUGCAUUUCCAACUGGGUAGAUCUAUCUUUAUGCUGAGCCAAAAGCAGAGCAACAGGGAGAUCAGAACUCUCCAGCUUUAACUUAUUUUUCUGAAUGACGUCUUUGUUUUCCUUCUGGUACAUCUCCAUUUUCUUUUUGGUGUUUUCCAAAUCCACAUUGUUGGGCAAGUUGAACACAAUUUCCUCCACUUCUUCUAGGAAAUCAUUAUAUUCUCUUAGACUAGAAAAGUCUCCUUCCCUUUUAUUGUAUAUCUUUAACACUUUUUUCCAAAUCUCCACUUCUUUGUCAACAGUGGGAUCCUCAAAGAGCUGUACCCUGAAGUUGCUCUAAGUGGAGUGCCACAUUCAGGACAAUUUCCGGCUCCUCUCACAAACAGUAAAUCCACACAACUUUCACAUCUUCCCCACAGCCCGGCCGGCUGCCCCCCUCCCCCUCCCUCCGCGGCCCCCAGAAGUUUCGUCUCCUGCGAGGGCCCUAAAUAUAUAAAAUUUUUAUUAAAAUAGCAGAAAAUAAAAAGAUCUUUAGACAGGAAAGAAA